rnacentral:rRNA from 1 species
AUUGAACGCUGGCGGCAGGCCUAACACAUGCAAGUCGAGCGGAUGAAGGGAGCUUGCUCCUGGAUUCAGCGGCGGACGGGUGAGUAAUGCCUAGGAAUCUGCCUGGUAGUGGGGGAUAACGUCCGGAAACGGGCGCUAAUACCGCAUACGUCCUGAGGGAGCAAGUGGGGGAUCUUCGGACCUCACGCUAUCAGCUGAGCCUAGGUCGGAUUAGCUAGUUGGUGGGGUAAAGGCCUACCAAGGCGACGAUCCGUAACUGGUCUGAGAGGAUGAUCAGUCACACUGGAACUGAGACACGGUCCAGACUCAUACGGGAGGCAGCAGUGGGGAAUAUUGGACACUGGGCGAAAGCCUGAUCCAGCCAUGCCGCGUAUGUGAAGAAGGUCUUCGGAUUGUAAAGCACUUGAAGUGGGGAGGAAGGGCAGUAAGUUAAUACCUGGCUGUUUUGACGUUACCAACAGAAUAAGCACCGGCUAACUUCGUG